rnacentral:rRNA from 1 species
AGCGAACGCUGGCGGCAGGCCUAACACAUGCAAGUCGAACGGACCCUUCGGGGUUAGUGGCGGACGGGUGAGUAACACGUAGGAACGUGCCUUUAGGUUCGGAAUAGCUCCUGGAAACGGGUGGUAAUGCCGAAUGUGCCCUUCGGGGGAAAGAUUUAUCGCCUUUAGAGCGGCCCGCGUCUGAUUAGCUAGUUGGUGAGGUAACGGCUCACCAAGGCGACGAUCAGUAGCUGGUCUGAGAGGAUGACCAGCCACACUGGGACUGAGACACGGCCCAGACUCCUACGGGAGGCAGCAGUGGGGAAUCUUGCGCAAUGGGCGAAAGCCUGACGCAGCCAUGCCGCGUGAAUGAUGAAGGUCUUAGGAUUGUAAAAUUCUUUCACCGGGGACGAUAAUGACGGUACCCGGAGAAGAAGCCCCGGCUAACUUCGUG